UUUCCGUAGGUGAACCUGCGGAAGGAUCAUUAUUGUAUAACCGAGGUGCGAGGGCUGUCGCUGACCCGAAAGUUCGUGGAUGCCCGAGUGCCCUCACACACAUCCAUCUCACCCCUAUGUGCACCACCGCGUGGGUCCACCUUUGGCUUGUUCGGAGGGGGGCUUACGUUUUCACACAAACUUUGUAGGCAGUGUAGAAUGUAUUUUUUGUUUUUGCGAUCACGCAAUCAAUACAACUUUCAACAACGGAUCUCUUGGCUCUC
rnacentral:misc_RNA from 1 species